GACGAACGCUGGCGGCGUGCCUAAUACAUGCAAGUCGAACGCAUUUUCUUUCACCGUAGCUUGCUACACCGAAAGAAAAUGAGUGGCGAACGGGUGAGUAACACGUAGGUAACCUGCCCAUCAGCGGGGGAUAACACUUGGAAACAGGUGCUAAUACCGCAUAAUUCCAUUUACUGCAUGGUAGAUGGAUGAAAGGCGCUUUUGCGUCACUGAUGGAUGGACCCGCGGUGCAUUAGCUAGUUGGUGGGGUAACGGCCUACCAAGGCUGCGAUGCAUAGCCGACCUGAGAGGGUGAUCGGCCACACUGGGACUGAGACACGGCCCAGACUCCUACGGGAGGCAGCAGUAGGGAAUCUUCGGCAAUGGACGCAAGUCUGACCGAGCAACGCCGCGUGAGUGAAGAAGGUUUUCGGAUCGUAAAACUCUGUUGUUAGAAAAGAACAAGGAUGAGAGUGGAAAGUUCAUCCCUUGACGGUAUCUAACCAGAAAGCCACGGCUAACUACGCG
rnacentral:rRNA from 1 species